rnacentral:rRNA from 1 species
AUACGUAGGGGGCUAGCGUUAUCCGGAUUUACUGGGCGUAAAGGGUGCGUAGGUGGUUUCUUAAGUCAGGAGUGAAAGGCUACGGCUCAACCGUAGUAAGCUCUUGAAACUGGGAAACUUAAGUGCAGGAGAGGAAAGGUGGAAUUCCUAGUGUAGCGGUGAAAUGCGUAGAUAUUAGGAGGAACACCAGUGGCGAAGGCGGCUUACUGGACUGUAACUGACGUUGAGGCUC